rnacentral:rRNA from 1 species
AUGAACGCUGACGAUCUGAAGAAGCUUGAAGAGGAGCUGAAGAACCGCGAGUCCAUCGUACGGGCUCGUGAGGAAGAACUCAAGCGUCUUGACGAGGAAAAAGGAAAAACUGUCCUCAUCCGUGCUCCGGCACCCUCGUCUUCCGCCGCCUCCAUCAAGAUGUAUGUUCCCAUCACUCUGGAUCUUUCGGACUCCAACUACGUCAAGUGGCGUGAGCUGUUUCUCGUCGCCCUCGGACGCUACGUCCUCUCCAACCACGUCGUCGGCGACGCCGCCGCCACUCCGUCCGACACUUCGCCUACCUCCGAUUGGGGGCGAGACGACUUCACGGUGCUCUCCUGGAUAUACGGCUCGAUCUCCAUCGAGCUUUUUGGCAUCAUCAUGGCUCCCGGCUCCACGGCGCGGCAGGUCUGGGACUCCAUCGCCAACCUCUUCCAUGACAACAAGAAAAGCCGCGCCCUAGCACUUGAUGCCGAGUUCCGCAACACACCUCAAGGAGACAUGUCCAUCCACGACUACUGCGCCAAGCUCAAGUCUCUUGCCAAUGCUCUCAGCGACGUCGGCCAGGACAUCACCGAUGAGACUCUCGUCCUCACAGUGCUUCGCGGUCUCAACGAACAGUUCAACCAUCUUCGGUCUUUUCUUCCGUUCCAACUGUCGUUCCCUUCGUUCUUGCAGACGCGUUCCGCGCUCGUCCUCGAGGAAACGCAGAAGAAGACGGACGCCAAAAAUGCGGCCGCUACGGCGUUAUGGGCAAGCGGCAACAGCGUUCUCCCUCAGGCUGGCGGAGAGCGUGCUCCUACUCGUGGACAUGGUGCCGGCUACAGCAGCAACGACUCUCGCACUGCCCACUCCCACCCCAUCGUGCCCUACACCAACUCUGGCCGUGGUGGUGGAAGCAGCGGCCGCCGCGGGCAUGCCGGCGGCCUCUGA